rnacentral:lncRNA from 1 species
UAUUGUGGAUCCUCAUAAGAUAGUCAUGUCAAUUUCUCGAUAGUGUGCAAUAGUUGCACCAUAUUCUAUUUCAACUCUAAUCGACCUCCUGCAAUCGAUAUGCGAAUGCUAUUUGUAACAUUAUUAGUAAGUGGAAUUGCCACCUUGCAAAGUAGUCUUACCGAUGCAACCUCAACAAGAGCAAUUUCAAUCAAAUCAACCAUCUGAAUUUGUUCAAUUGGGUAUUAAAGGGAUGCUUAC